UACGUAGGCAGCGAGCGUUGUUCGGAGUUACUGGGCGUAAAGGGUGCGUAGGCGGUUGUUUAAGUUUGGUGUGAAAUCUCCCGGCUCAACUGGGAGGGUGCGCCGAAUACUGAAUGACUAGAGUGCGGGAGAGGAGAGUGGAAUUCCUGGUGUAGCGGUGAAAUGCGUAGAUAUCAGGAGGAACACCGGUGGUGUAGACGGCUCUCUGGACCAUAACUGACGCUGAGGCACGAAAGCGUGGGUAGCAAACAGG
rnacentral:rRNA from 1 species